rnacentral:misc_RNA from 1 species
GAAAUGCGAUAAGUAAUGCGAAUUGCAGAUUUCAGUGAAUCAUCGAAUCUUUGAACGCACAUUGCACCCGGCGGCCAUUCCGCCGGGUCUGCCUGUCCGAGCGUCGUUUCGCCCCUCGAGUCCACCAAGCACUCGGUGUUGGGGAUCUGCAGGGCCCUCAGGGGCGCUGCAGACCCUGAAAUACAGUGGCGGGCCCUGCUGGAAUCCCCUGCGCAGUAACAAAUUUCUCGCAUCCAAAGGUAGGGUUACCCGCUGAACUUAA